GAGACACUCUACUGCCAUCAUGCAAUGAUAAACAUUGGCAUCCCAUCCAGGGUGUACCCCAGCCUUGUGCCCUGUGCGGCCUAGGAUUGGCUCCCAGACCCCUGCCCCCUUGUGACCCUAACCAGGAUAAGUGGUUAGAAGAUAGAUGGAUUGAUCAUGCAAUAAAGUUUUUAAAAA